GACGUAGGAGGCGAGCGUUGUCCGGAGUUACUGGGCGUAAAGCGCGCGCAGGCGGUCUGUCAGGUCAUCUGUGAAAGCACUCGGCUUAACCGGGGUGAUGCGGGUGAAACCGACAGACUUGAGGGCGGUAGAGGGUGGUGGAAUUCCCGGUGUAGUGGUGAAAUGCGUAGAGAUCGGGAGGAACACCCGUAGCGAAGGCGGCCACCUGGGCCGACCCUGACGCUGAGGCGCGAAGGCCAGGGGAGCGAAC
rnacentral:rRNA from 1 species